UUGCUUGCUUCAGCAGCACAAAUACCCAAAUUAGAACAAUACAGAGAAUAUUAGCAUGACCCCAGUAUGACAUGCAAAUUGUGGAAGCAUUACAUAUUUUU
rnacentral:snRNA from 1 species